rnacentral:misc_RNA from 1 species
GAUGAAGAACGCAGCGAAAUGCGAUAAGUAAUGUGAAUUGCAGAAUUCAGUGAAUCAUCGAAUCUUUGAACGCAUCUUGCGCUCCUUGGUAUUCCUUGGAGCAUGCCUGUUUGAGUAUCAUGAGCAAAUCUCAAAGUCAAUUCCUUUUGUUAAUUCAAUUGGUUUUGCUUUGGACUUGGAGGUCUUGCAGAUUUCACAGUCUGCUCCUCUUAAAUGCAUUAGCUGGAUCUCAGUAAUUAUGCUUGGUUCCACUCGGCGUGAUAAGUAUCACUCGCUGAGGACACUGUUAAAAAGGUGGACAGGAAAAUACUGAUUGAACCGCUUCUAACGGUCUAUUAAGUUAGACAAUUACCCUUAAGUUUGAUCUCAAAUCAGGUAGGACUACCCGCUGAACUUAAGCAUAUCAAUAAGCGGAGGA